UUUUUUGUUGCUACAGCUGUGAGCACAGCCAAAUGCAACCAUGGAAUCUGUACAAAAAAGAUAGUGCAGCUUUCACUGAGGAGCAGAGCACCUCUGCCUUUGAAGGAGACUUUUGGGUUGGGUCAGUAAUGGAUUCAUUUGUUGGCACUGGUUUUAACCUGGCAGCUGCUAAUUUUGGUUUGGUUCGGUUCUGGCCAGUGGUGUUCCUGACCUUUGGGGUGAAUUCCAUGCCUUGAGCAACUUCAGUGACAUCCCUGGACAAGCACUGAUUCUUUUAGAGCUGAGAAGGAUCAUAAUGGAAAGCGACACUGAAAAAUCACAGGUGGGCAAGAGUUGUGACAACACCUCUUAGAGCUGAAAAAUAUCCUUCCAAGAGAGAAAAGGAUGUGGGUUUGAUGGCUUUUUGUUUGUAUGGUUGGGGUUGGUUGGGUUGGAUGCUUUUUUGUGUGUGUGCUCCUACAGACAGCCUCUUUAUUAUAACUACCUUCCUUUAAAGGGGAAAUUAACUGCUCAUUGGAAAUUAGUGUAAUUGUCUUUUUAAGCCAUCACAGAGCCAUGGAAACAGUGGGGAUGUUCAGGCAGGCAGACUGUAGGCCGAAGGAAAACCCCUAAAAUGCCUUCAGCAUAGAUAUGAGGACCUUAGGAACAUGGGUUGGCACAAGAAAAUUGUGAGAAGACAGUUUAAUUUUGAUUCAGCCAUUUUAGUUUGUCUCAACCCUGGUUGUCAAAAAAUAUUUCCUUUUUAGGCAGUUCAGCUUGUAAAGGUAGAUAGGCACUAAAUAAAUUCCAGUUUGUAGGACUGGGUAUCUUCAUAAAUUCCUUUUAAUUACAUAUGGAGGGAUCA